rnacentral:rRNA from 1 species
GAUGAACGCUAGCGACAGGCUUAACACAUGCAAGUCGAGGGGCAGCACGGUGUAGCAAUACACGGGUGGCGACCGGCGCACGGGUGAGUAACGCGUAUGCAACCUGCCUACUACAAGGGGAUAACCCGUUGAAAGACGGACUAAUACCCUAUAACACAGGGAAUCCGCAUGGAUAUAUUUGUUAAAGAUUUAUCGGUAGUAGAUGGGCAUGCGUUCCAUUAGCUUGUUGGUGAGGUAACGGCUCACCAAGGCAACGAUGGAUAGGGGAACUGAGAGGUUGAUCCCCCACACUGGAACUGAGACACGGUCCAGACUCCUACGGGAGGCAGCAGUGAGGAAUAUUGGUCAAUGGACGAGAGUCUGAACCAGCCAAGUCGCGUGAAGGAAGACGGCCCUACGGGUUGUAAACUUCUUUUGUAAGGGAAUAAAUAGUCUUACGCGCUAAGACGUUGCAGGUACCUUACGAAUAAGGAUCGGCUAACUCCGUG